rnacentral:rRNA from 1 species
UAGGGAAUCUUCCGCAAUGGACGAAAGUCUGACGGAGCAACGCCGCGUGAGUGAAGAAGGAUUUCGGUUCGUAAAACUCUGUUGUUAGGGAAGAAAAAAUGUAUAGUAACUAUAUACAAAAGAGACGGUACCUAACCAGAAAGCCACGGCUAACUACGUGCCAGCAGCCGCGGUAAUACGUAGGUGGCAAGCGUUGUCCGGAAUUAUUGGGCGUAAAGCGCGCGCAGGCGGUCACUUAAGUCCAUCUUAGAAGUGCGGGGCUUAACCCCGUGAUGGGAUGGAAACUGGGAGACUGGAGUAUCGGAGAGGAAAGUGGAAUUCCUAGUGUAGCGGUGAAAUGCGUAGAUAUUAGGAAGAACACCGGUGGCGAAGGCGACUUUCUGGACGAAAACUGACGCUGAGGCGCGAAAGCGUGGGGAGCAAACAGG